AGAGUUUGAUCAUGGCUCAGGAUGAACGCUGGCGGCGUGCCUAACACAUGCAAGUCGAGCGAUCUUCUUCGGAAGAGAGCGGCGGACGGGUGAGUAACGCGUGGGUAACCUGCCCUGUACACACGGAUAACAUACCGAAAGGUAUGCUAAUACGGGAUAACAUAAGAAAUUCGCAUGUUUUUCUUAUCAAAGCUCCGGCGGUACAGGAUGGACCCGCGUCUGAUUAGCUAGUUGGUGAGGUAACGGCUCACCAAGGCGACGAUCAGUAGCCGACCUGAGAGGGUGAUCGGCCACAUUGGAACUGAGACACGGUCCAAACUCCUACGGGACGCCAGCAG
rnacentral:rRNA from 1 species